UCUCUCUCCCCCUUUCCUUUUCUUCACUGCUACUUCUCCUCCUCCUCCCUCACUUCAAAUACGUGUUUUUGCUUUACUGUACUGAAAACCUUUAAAGCGACGGCCCUGUCCAGGCGCUCAAAUUCCUCCUCGGGCGCUUUCGAAGGUAUUGGUGGCCUUUGGCAAAAAUCCUAUGGUUGCAGAUGUAGAAGGGACCCCCGAGGGUCAUCUAGUCCAACCCCGAGCAACAAAGGAAUCUCGGCUAAAGUAAUCCACGACAGGUGCACCCCCCCCCCCCCGCUUAUAAACCUCCAAGGAAAGAGAGUCCUCUCAUCUACUGCCGCAGGCACUGUCAAAUAUCUCAUCGCACAUCUCUUUGCAAAAAUGUCUCUUCCUGCCUUGCUCAGAGUAAAAGGGCACCCAAGUGACCAAUAUCCUUGGACAAGUAGAAUAAACUCAAGGCACAUUCGAAAGCAAGCAGAUGACAGAAUGACACAAACUUACAUCCAGCGAAGGCUCCGGCAUAUCAGAUGUCCCCUGCCCACCAGCCUGACCUUCU